rnacentral:rRNA from 1 species
UUUGUGGGGUGCUCGAGCGGCGAACGGGUGAGUAACACGUGAGUAACCUGCCCUUGACUUUGGGAUAACUUCAGGAAACUGGGGCUAAUACCGGAUAGGAGCCCCUGCUGCAUGGUGGGGGUUGGAAAGUUUCGGCGGUUGGGGAUGGACUCGCGGCUUAUCAGCUUGUUGGUGGGGUAGUGGCUUACCAAGGCUUUGACGGGUAGCCGGCCUGAGAGGGUGACCGGCCACAUUGGGACUGAGAUACGGCCCAG